CCUACGGGAGGCAGCAGUGAGGAAUAUUGGUCAAUGGACGAGAGUCUGAACCAGCCACGUAGCGUGAAGGAUGACUGCCCUAUGGGUUGUAAACUUCUUUUAUAUGGGAAUAAAAUGUUCCACGUGUGGGAUUUUGUAUGUACCAUAUGAAUAAGGAUCGGCUAACUCCGUGCCAGCAGCCGCGGUAAUACGGAGGAUUCGAGCGUUAUCCGGAGUUAUUGGGUGUAAAGGGAGCGUAGGUGGAUUGUUAAGUCAGUUGUGAAAGUUUGCGGCUCAACCGUAAAAUUGCAGUUGACACUGGCAGUCUUGAGUACAGUAGAGGUAGGCGGAAUUCGUGGUGUAGCGGUGAAAUGCUUAGAUAUCACGAAGAACUCCGAUUGCGAAGGCAGCUCACUGGACUGCAACUGACACUGAGGCUCGAAAGUGUGGGGAUCAAACAGGAUUAGAUACCCCAGUAGUC
rnacentral:rRNA from 1 species